ACAUGGGAGAAAUCUUGGGUCGAGGGCGGGCGCAGGCUGGUCGAGGGUGGAGCGGUGCGUCCCGGGGCUGGCAGGGGCGGGCCUGAGUCCCGCAGCCCGCUCUCAGGGGCGGGGGACCCCGAAGCCGCUGUGUCCAGGGACUAGGAGCCCGAUCUCAGAGCCAAGCAGUCAGUGGUGGCAAUGGUGUAACCCGCGCAAGCGCCUCGCACCUCCUAGGUCCCAGCGGGCGGGUCCCAGCCCGCGCCCUCUUCGCCGCGCACCUGAGCUGAGUUCCCCGGCGGCCGCAGCGCCGCGCCGGAGCUCCGGUUCGCUUCCCGCGCGCCGCCGCCAACGCCGCCCACGCUGCUGCUGCUCGUGCGGGGUCGCUGCCCAGGUACCGCGGGAGUCCAGGUCUGCGGCCGCCGCUCGGCCGGCCCCCGGCUGCAGCCCCGCCGGGGACGCGGGCCCGCGAGGAGGCAACUUUGGGUUCCCGCCGCCUUCCCCGCUCGCCCGCGGGCGCCGCUCGACUGCCGCAGCCCGUCCGCCCGCCUCCCGCGCGCGCUCACACUCGCGCCUCGCACACGGCCGCCCCCCGCACCGCCCCGCCACGCACACCGCGCUCCGCGCCCCCCGCCGCUGCCCGAGCUUGCCGCGCGCCGCCCCAGUCCGCGCCGCGCCCGCCCCGUCCCAUCUCGCUCCCGCCGGACGCCGCGGUUCCCGGGUCAGCUGCCCCUCGGCUCCAGCCCGGAGGUGCCGAGGGCAGGGCCCGCGGGUGGGCUGGCGCCCAGCUCGGGAGACCCGGAGAGUCGCGGCAAGCGACGCCGGGCCUCGCCCUCGGCCGGCUCCGGGACGCCCUGGGCGCGGGGCGCUGCGGGCGCGGGGCGCGGGGCAGCGGGCGCGGGGCGGCGCCGGCCCCGGGCGGCUCUCCCACUAGGGGUAGCUGUUGCCUGAACGCGGGAGCGCUCCCCUCUCGCCGCUUGCCUCGCCCGGCGCAGCCCCGGCCGCCGGGCGCACCCGUCCCGUUCGUCCCCGGACGUUGCUCUCUGCCCCGGGAACGUCGAGACUGGAGCGCCCGAACUGAGCCACCUUCGCGAACUCGGAGCGCGGCGGCCCGACUCAACCGCGGAGGCGCCCGGACGCGUAAAGUCAAGGCCUCAACCCGAAGGCAGCGCCUAAGAAUCGCACUCCCUAGAAUGCUCCAGCACUCACAGGGGCCUUCUCUGGGGUAACGGGACCCCAGCCGGAUACUACAGCUCCAGCUGCUUGCGUCCCAUGCAUCGCCCUCUCGGGAGAGACCAGCUACCUAACUUUCUCUACCAGAGACCGCGCUGGCGUCUCGGGAGGGAUGCUCUGCCCAGGGAGUCCCUAGGUCGCGGGACCUAUGGCCGCCAGAGCAGCUGGAUCUGGAGUGUGCUGCAUGUGAACAGCCUGUGAAAGUGGCUCUUCUCCCUCUGGGUCAGAGGAUGUCUCUGCUCUGGGGGCAAGGGAGUAAACAUCAGCACUUCCCACCUGAAGGAAGCCAUCAGACUCCUUUGCUGUUUCUAGCACUCUUUGUAAGGUCUUUCAGGAGGACUUCAGAAAUCUCCCUGAAUGUGCCUGGCUGGGGGUUCCACUAUCCCUAAGCAGGGCUCCUCUGAGCUUACAGAUCAAACCCCCCCCCCCCACUCUCUUUCAGACUUAGAUGGUAAAGUGAGAAGAGACUCUGGCUGGAGAGUCUGAGAGACAGAUUGGGAGCUUCUAGGCGCUGUCUUGGGUAGAGCAAGAGAUAGUUCUCUUCAGCCCAAGAUCCCCUCAUCUCUGGGAGAUACCAGUCUAGGGCUUGUGUCCUGCUUCUUCCUAUAAGGACCUGGGACAGGGAUAUGAGGCCGGUCCUCCCCUUCUCGCAUUAUGUGUGUAGGUGCAUAUGCCAUGUGGCAGCCAUAGUCUGGGACAGAUAGAAGUCCUUCUGGUCCUGCUCUAUGGGACCAGUCACGCCUGAACAUUACCCCUUUCUGAUAUGGGACACUUGGGAAACCCUGCCAUCCACAUUUCUGGACAGGGGCGGGUGUUGUGUGGGAAAUAGGCUACACCCCACACCUCAGGAUUCCAGAGCCUUGGAUGAAGAACCCAGGCCUUCGACUUCCCUGGCAUCCUGUACAGGGGAGCCCACUUUCUGCCUGGACUCUUCUUGAAGGAGCACACUCCCUCUUCCUGGCCCUUCUUCCUCAGUGGCCAGCAGCCUGUUCAGCAGAUGCAUUUCUGUGUUUGCCCGGCAGACCUCCCAGGCUGGCCCAGGCGGGAUCCCUUGGAGAGACUUCUGGGAGGGGCCCAAUAAAGCUUUGUGCAAUGAGAAA
rnacentral:lncRNA from 1 species